UGGGAUAUGAUGACAAAAAUACGAUAUCU
rnacentral:sRNA from 1 species